rnacentral:rRNA from 1 species
AAUAGAUACCCGGGUAGCCCUAGCUGUAAACGAUGAGCACUUAUCUGGGGAUCCUCCCAUAGGUUCCCGGAUGUAGCGAAAGUGUUAAGUGCUCCGCCGGGGGAGUAUGGUCGCAAGGCUGAAACUCAAAGAAAUUGACGGGGGCUCACACAAGCGGUGGAGGAUGUGGCUUAAUUCGAGGCUACGCGAAGAACCUUAUCCAGGUCUUGACAUGUACGGAUUAACCCCGUGAAAGCGGGGCCACAGCUUCGGCUGGAACGUGCACAGGUGCUGCAUGGCUGUCGUCAGCUCGUGUCGUGAGAUGUCGGGUUAAGUCCCUUAACGAGCGAAACCCUUGUCUCUAGUUGCCAGCGAGUAAUGUCGGGGACUCUAGAGAGACUGCCGGUGUUAAACCGGAGGAAGGCGGGGAUGACGUCAAGUCCUCAUGGCCUUUAUGACCUGGGCUGCACACGUCCUACAAUGGCGUCUACAAAGGGAAGCAAGCUCGCGAGAGUAAGCAAAAUCCCAAAAAGGGCGCCUCAGUUCGGAUUGCAGG